CAGCCGCCACGGUAAUACGAAGGGUGCAAGCGUUAAUCGGAAUUACUGGGCGUAAAGCGUGCGUAGGCGGUGAGUUAAGUCUGCUGUGAAAUCCCCGGGCUCAACCUGGAAUGGCAGUGGAUACUGGCUCGCUAGAGUGUGUCAGAGGAUGGUGGAAUUCCCGGUGUAGCGGUGAAAUGCGUAGAGAUCGGGAGGAACAUCAGUGGCGAAGGCGGCCAUCUGGGACAACACUGACGCUGAGGCACGAAAGCGUGGGGAGCAAACAGGAUUAGAUACCCCCGUAGUCCCUGUCUCUUAUACA
rnacentral:rRNA from 1 species